rnacentral:rRNA from 1 species
GGAACGAACGCUGGCGGCAGGCUUAACACAUGCAAGUCGAACGCCCCGCAAGGGGAGUGGCAGACGGGUGAGUAACGCGUGGGAAUCUACCUGGUUCUACGGAAUAACUGAGGGAAACUUCAGCUAAUACCGUAUACGCCCCAAGGGGGAAAGAUUUAUCGGUGCCAGAUGAGCCCGCGUUGGAUUAGCUAGUUGGUAGGGUAAUGGCCUACCAAGGCGACGAUCCAUAGCUGGUCUGAGAGGAUGAUCAGCCACACUGGGACUGAGACACGGCCCAGACUCCUACGGGAGGCAGCAGUGGGGAAUAUUGGACAAUGGGCGAAAGCCUGAUCCAGCCAUGCCGCGUGAGUGAUGAAGGCCUUAGGGUUGUAAAGCUCUUUCAGUGGGGAAGAUAAUGACGGUACCACAGAAGAAGCCCCGGCUAACUUCGUGCCAGCAGCCGC